rnacentral:ncRNA from 1 species
AAAAAAUCUAUGAAUAGGACUAGUAGUAAUUUAUGCUUUUAUUUAGAGAGUCAGUGGGUGGUGAAAACUGAUAAAGCAGAUUAUGAACUCACCUAGGAGAUGCAGCGGUGAAUUAACAGUAGUCGUUGCCGUUGACUGCGUUAAGGUUUCGAGGGCUCAGCCUUUUUUAGGCUUUGAACUAAGGUGGUAACGCGAUAUUGAAGUCGUCCUUAGA